GAUGUUGAGGAAGUGUUUGCUGGAGACAUCUGUGCAUUAUUUGGCAUUGACUGUGCUAGUGGAGACACAUUCACAAACAAAGACAAUAGUGGUCUUUCUAUGGAGAGCAGCCUCUCCUACAGUAUGACCACUUGUUCGUGAGGCUGGUUCCUCUCCUGAAUUCAGUAAAGAAAGAAUAUGAGUACUUAGGGGACAGGUAAUUUGCAGUGAAGGCAUUUACAGUGGGUCGUUUAUGUAAGAACUGGUCCAACGCUAACAAGUGAGCACUAUAAUAGCUCCUGUAUACAAUGAUGAACUCAUAAUUUUGUAAUUUAAUUUUUUUGUAUAAAAUAUUCUCUAAUGUCUAUGGUUUUACAAAUGCUUUAAGAUACUACAAAAAUCACACAGGAGGGCACUGAUAGCUCUUCAGUGCUGGGAGCUUAUUCCACAGACCACCCCGGCGGUGGUUUCGAAGGUCUGUGCCUGUGGAGAGAAGGGGCCUGGAAUGCCCUACUAUCCAGUAAUUUUACUCCCAGGUGUAUAUACUAGAGAAACUCUUGCAGGCAUGCACCAAGAGAGAAUACAAAAUUAAUUUAUGAAAUCAUUGACCAUAAUAGCAAAAAACUACAAACUCAAACAUCCACAGAAAGAAGAUGAAUACAUAAAUUAUAGAACAGUCACCGAGUGGAAUGUUAGAUAGAAGUGAUAGAAAUGAUAGAAAAUGAUAGAACUAUGUGUAACCACAUGGAAGGAUCUAGAAACAUAAUAUUGAGUGAAAAUAUACGGACCAGAGAACUAUCUACAGUAAGACACCAUUUUUAUAAGCUCAAAAUGAAGCAAAACUGAAAAACAUACUAGUUAGGGAUACAGAGAUAUGUGAUGAAGUUAUUUUUAAAAAGACAAGGGGAGGGGAUGAUAAAACACAAAAUUCGGGAUAGUGGUACCUGUGGUGGACAGGCAGGGAGGUGGGAUAGGGCAAGAGCUCCUGGGCCGGGACAAGGAUCUUGGUCACAGUGCAGUUUCUAGGUCAGGUGGCGGUUGGUGGGUGCAGCACUCACGGUCGCUGCGCUUCCCAACACUUCCAUGUGCUCUUCUGUAUGUAGAGUUUCAAAGGUUUACAUACAUAAGCGUAUACUGAGAGAAUAUUAGUACGAGUCCUACUCGAUACUCAACGCAUAUUUACGUGCAGAUAGCAGGAACAAUAUAAGAACACUAACCACACUGAUAAUUGAGAGAUUGAAAAAUGUGCAGAGAAUUUCUGUAUGUAUGAAAGGUUCAUUUAAAAUUUAAUUCAGGGGAUUUUUAUUACAUUCAGAGGCUCAGACGAUAAGGCACCUUACAUUUGAGUUUUAUAACUUUGUAAUAAGUGGCAAAAACAAAAAGAAAGGAGGACAUCAUGGGACAACAUCAUACUGGAAAAUAGAUUUAUUUUUUAUUAAACUGUGUCUUAAAGAUUUCUUAAACCUAAGAGCUACAACUCUGAAAGUUUUUCUGAGAAUAUAUUACUUCUAAAAGCUAUAUUUUAUGUUCUUUGUAUACUUGGAAGGCUAACAUAAGUUGCGUAAUUGAAAAUGAUAAUUACCUGGUGACUCUUUUGUCCUUAUUAUUAUAUCUCAUGAAAACUUAGGAUUGCAAUUAGCUCUUUAUUCAUUACCACGUCGCUUGUAAUGGUAAAAUGUGUGCAUAAUGUACAUCCCAUGGACUUCUUUCUUCCCUGUGAAAUUCAGACAGUAUUUUACUCUAGCAACAGAUCUUUUAGGCUUUACAUAGAGACGGAGCUUACCUACACUUGUCUUCUGCCCCACAAGAGUUUUUAGUGGAUGCGGUCAAUAUUUAUAGAGCAGUGCUGGUCCCAAAGGCUGACGCCAGAAUUGUGGAAUAGGACCCCGUGUAUUCUUUCUGAGAUUUCUGUAACAGAGAUCUACUGAAAUGUUAUUAGAGAAUACAAAAAUUAGACUAAUCAUCUCAGCAUCCCCGGGCAAUCAGUGGAUGUUAGAGUACUGAAUCGGUGGUCAGAACUGAGCUUGAGUUUCCAACUUCUUAUUUGCUGAAUUGUGAUAUUCAUUUAACAUCUUUGUGCCUCAUUUUCUUCAUAUUAAUAAAGUGAUAAAAGCUCCUUUAUUCUCCUCAUAGGAUUGUUAGGAGGCUGGAAGUCAAUACACAUGAAAAGACUUUACAACCUCAAGGAAUAUGCAAAUAUUAGUUUGUCACUAGAGGAAGGUGUUUUUUAUUAAUCAAACAUAGUAAGAUUCAGAGUAAAAUAUUAAAAAAAGCAUAUUUAGGCCUUUUAAAAAUUACUAUGUAAAGUACAUGAAUUUCUCAGCAGAAAGAAGAUGCCUAUAGGGUCUGCUUGAAAAAUCAUUUUAUUGAUUUUCACACAAACGAACUACAGAUCUUCCCUGACUUACAGUGGGGUUACAUCCCGAUAAACGCAUUGAAAGUUGAAAAUAUCGUAAGUCGAAAAUGCAUUUAAUACAUCUAACCUACUGAACAUCUUAGCUUAGCCUAGCCUACCUUAAAUGUGCUCAGAACACCUACGUUAGCCUACACUUGGGCAAAACAUCUUACACGAAGCCUAUUUUACAAUAAAGUGUUGAUAUCUCA